CCACUUUCCAUUUCAAGGAGUGCGUUGAGGGCGUGCUUGCUCCAGCACGUUACAGCAGGCGUCGACACUGGCCGGGAAAGCAGAUUGGUCCUGUAUGCCCUCCUGACACUUCUCCAGGACGAGAAACCGUGCAUGGACACUGAACACUCCCACGUAAACUGGUGGAUGUAUUAUGGGUCUUCAGCAUGUGUACCGCAAGUUCAGGCCUCUCGGGUCGAGGCCUCUCGCAUGCGAGCUGUGGGAACCGCAAUGCACACUCGCAGCUAAGAGCGUGGUUGGACGCUGGGUACGUCUCGUGUCCAUAAAAGGAAGCAUCGAAACAAAAGUAAAUGGAGAAUGUUUUGAGCGAGGAAUGUUUU